AUAGUUUGUACAGUAAGAAAAGUUGUAACUAAGGGCUCCACGGCAAACAUGUAAAACAGUAACUAGCUUUUUAAUCGUAAAUCUUUACUUUUAAAUAUUUUUAGGCAAUCGACUGAUGUUUUUACCGUGGCAAAAUAAAGAAGCUUCCUUCCUUCCUUCCUUCCUUACCAUUGCAAGGGGUCUAUAUGAAACAUAAGUUUUUCAUGGUUAUGUUGAUGAUGAGAGGAACACCGACAAUGCAUGGAUUGAAACCAUGGUAAGGAAUUAUCAUGAAGAAACAGGCAACAUUCUGGGAGGUCAAUUUAUGAUCAAAGAAAACAAGCAAGACUUGGCUUGGCUAGUGGCAAGUUGUCAGUUGAAUUUACCAGAAAAUCAAGUCCUAUUUUUGAGGAAAGUUGCUAAACU